UACGUAGGGUGCAAGCGUUAAUCGGAAUUACUGGGCGUAAAGCGUGCGCAGGCGGUUAUGCAAGACAGAUGUGAAAUCCCCGGGCUUAACCUGGGAACUGCAUUUGUGACUGCAUAGCUGGAGUACGGCAGAGGGGGAUGGAAUUCCGCGUGUAGCAGUGAAAUGCGUAGAUAUGCGGAGGAACACCGAUGGCGAAGGCAGUCCCCUGGGCCUGUACUGACGCUCGAUGCACGAAAAGCGUGGGGAGCAAACAGG
rnacentral:rRNA from 1 species